rnacentral:lncRNA from 1 species
AUGGAGGGGGCCUGGGGGAAAGGGGAGGAAGCCUUCCCAGCACAGCAGCUCAGGGUGUGUCAGGCCCCACCCCCAGAGGCGGGGCCAGGCUGGGUCCCACCAGCCUCAGCUCCAUCCCAGGCGAAGGCAGAGCCAGGGCAGCAGAGAGCUGGGGGCCCUGCUGUCUCCACACAGUGGAGGUACCAUGACCUCAAAGGUCAGGACACCAGACGUCACCAGAAGCCGUGCAGCGCUGGCUGGGACAACUCUCUGACACUCGGAGGGGAGCCCAGGCUGGGCAAGCCACACUUGUCACCUACAGUCAUUUCCCGGGAAAGGCCCCGUUGCUAGCUGCUAGCCUGGUGCGGACGUCAAGUUUAUGGGCUGGAAGUCCUACCCGGAGGCUGCUCACUGAAGUGUAACCAACCACAAGGCGGAUGGAAGGGAGGUGCUGGGGACAGGGCAACCCCUUGGUGCU